UUGAACGCUGGCGGCAGGCCUAACACAUGCAAGUCGAGCGGAUGAAGGGAGCUUGCUCCUGGAUUCAGCGGCGGACGGGUGAGUAAUGCCUAGGAAUCUGCCUGGUAGUGGGGGAUAACGUCCGGAAACGGGCGCUAAUACCGCAUACGUCCUGAGGGAGAAAGUGGGGGAUCUUCGGACCUCACGCUCUCAGAUGAGCCUAGGUCGGAUUAGCUAGUUGGUGGGGUAAAGGCCUACCAAGGCGACGAUCCGUAACUGGUCUGAGAGGAUGAUCAGUCACACUGGAACUGAGACACGGUCCAGACUCCUACGGGAGGCAGCAGUGGGGAAUAUUGGACAAUGGGCGAAAGCCUGAUCCAGCCAUGCCGCGUGUGUGAAGAAGGUCUUCGGAUUGUAAAGCACUUUAAGUUGGGAGGAAGGGCAGUAAGUUAAUACCUUGCUGUUUUGACGUUACCAACAGAAUAAGCACCGGCUAACUUCGCG
rnacentral:rRNA from 1 species